CUCAAUAAUGAAAGGAGAAAAGGUUAACACAUCCCGUGAGAAAGAGAGAUGGAGUCCUAGUGGCUGUUUUGACACGUAUAUGGUUAAGGCAUUGCCACCUACUCCGUGGCAUCUAACCAAGCUUUUCU